rnacentral:lncRNA from 1 species
CUAAUUUGCUAAGUUCAAUAUUGUUGGCUAGAUCUCGUUCGUUGCUAAUCUGGACAAGGUCCUCGAGUCUAUCAGGUGACAUGGCAACUCGCAAAUCAUUGUUUAUUAUUUUGACCUUGCUGUGUGUGCGUUCACAUGAUGCCACUGUACUGUCACAGGCAAGGUAGCGACCUCAAACAAGUCGGGUAAAGGUGGUGCAGAUCAUCUUUGCUGAAAACUUCGAGCAAGGAGGGCAAGCAAAUCCAAGGUGGAAACUUUCUUUUGGACCCUUUCUCUAGACUCUUUCCUUUCCUUCUCUUCGCUGCUAUGAUGCUCGUAUGUAAUCUUCCAGUUGUUACAUUGAAUAUUCUAGUCAUAUGUACUCUUCGUACCAUUUCUUUUGGAAUGUAAACUUUCUCAUCGAUAUGUCCGAUGUUGAAAAAUCUAAAAUAGGUCUAACCGUCAAGAUUCGAAAACGAAGGUUCUAUUUGCCUCCCUCACACACAAUUUCACUUGAAACAUUUUUCUCUUUCAGUUGUGUAGUGAUGCGUUCCAAGAAGCUAAUGACCAUAUGUUGCGCGAACGGUGCAUUAAUUAAUUAACAUAUCUCCCUCACAUCUCAGCAGCAGGACCAAACUUCCGCAUCACACAUUACCCCUUGCACUUAAUUUGGGUAAUAUGUUAACCCAUUAUGAUGGGUUUCCUUCGGCGGUCGUAAUCAGUGCCUGCAAUAUUCUAAUGGUAAAUACCGCAUAUAUGAAACGGUCUUUUGUCAAAAGUAAAGCGAAGAUCUUUUAAUACCGGUUUUUAUUCACACAACAAAGACUGAAUUUAUUAAGUUAGAUCUAAAUAACUGGACUGAUGUCACAAACGUACCCCCCCCCCCAAAUUUUCUCACCGGAUUUGGACAAAUUAGAAAAUUGACCUUGAAGAGAACUGGGGGGGACGUGUCCUCCCCAGUCCUCCCCGUGG